rnacentral:tRNA from 1 species
GUCUAAAUAAGUUAAAAAAACUAUUGAAUUGUGGUUUCAAAAAUAAGCGGUGCUUUUUGGACC